rnacentral:rRNA from 1 species
UACAGAGGGGGCAAGCGUUGUUCGGAAUUACUGGGCGUAAAGGGCGCGUAGGCGGCCUUCUAAGUCAGACGUGAAAUCCCUCGGCUCAACCGGGGAACUGCGUCUGAGACUGGAAGGCUUGAAUCCGGGAGAGGGAUGUGGAAUUCCAGGUGUAGCGGUGAAAUGCGCAGAUAUCAGGAAGAACACCGAUGGCGAAAGCAGCUCUCUGGGACGGUACUGACGCUGAGGCGCGAAAGCGUGGGGAGCGAACAGG